rnacentral:piRNA from 1 species
AGGGGUAAAGCACAAAGGUACCUCGG